AAAGAAUUUUGAGAGAGUGCUAUAAACAACUCUCUGCAAUUAAAAAAUGGUCAAAGGAUUUUUGUAGAUAAUCUCCCCAAAGACAGUAUGCAAAUAUCCAGUAAAUACGUGAAAAGAUGCUCAACAUCACUAAUCAUUAGGGAAAGACAAGUC